GAGGGUGGAGGAAGGAGCUUGUAAAUGAGCAGCUGGUUUGCAGCAAAACCGCACCUCACUCUGCACCUUUGGAUCCCUCUCAGCCUGAGGUUAGCACAGCCAAUGUCCUCACCAGCGUCUGCCAAAGCCCAUGGAGAAGGCCAGCAGGAGCAUAUCACUGUGACUUACAACCCUUCUCUAGUCUGCUACAAUGGAAUCUUAAACAAGAAAAUUUUAUAUUUUGACUUGCAUCAUUGAGAAAAACACUGCCAACCUGAUCGUGGUUCCUUUGAAGAAUCACUGCAGCAGGUGCGAGAGAGGACUCAUGGAGCUUGCAGAUGAGCUAGCCCAGUUUUUAGAGUACUUCGUCCACGGCGCCAAGGUGUCUAGGGCAGAGACACCACAACCUCCUAAGAAUAUUUUUCAGACCCUGAACUUGAUGGGUCAGCUGCCACCACGCAGAUGGAUAAAGUGGCUUAUCUGGUACUGUGGCCCCCACUCAGGAACUGACUCAGCGCAAAGAAGACAGCUUCAACUCCCUAUGAUUUCAUCUCCAAUGGGACCAAUCAUCACUCCCCAGUCCCUGGCCUCCUAUGCACCAAAUUAUCCUUAAAAAACCCCAGUCUCUUAAUUGUCAGUCUCUCCAAUCUCUGAAUUUCCAGAAAGAGUUUAAUUCAUGCAGAGGCAGCUGAACUGAUUUGAGUAUGAAUUAAACUCUUUCUCUAUUGCAAUUCCUCUGUCUUGAUGAAUCGGCUUUAUCUGGGCAGUGGGCACAAUGAAUCCUUGGGCGGUUACAAUAAAACUGAAAAUAGAUAAAAACUGUGUGUGGCAAGAUUUAGAUCUAUAAAUUUUGACCUUGGAAAAUAGAACUCCAUAAAAAUAAUGCCCCCAAAAUAAAACUCACAGUAGUAGAAGCUGUUAUAGUAAAAUUUGAAUUGAACAAAAGACUGUUAAAACAGGACUGUGUUGAUAAGUUACACAUAAAUGAAUUCAUCCGGAUCAAAAUAAUUUUAGUAUUUUUACUCAUGACAUUGUAUUCAUGUUUAUUUAUGACAACAUAAAUAGUAAUUUUAUUCACAUGACAAAAUUGGAAAUACUUUAAGUGUGCUAUGUAGAAAACUAAUCAAGGAAUUAAUUUGGGUUAAUGAAAUUAAUUGUUAAAAGUAAUUUCUUGUCAACAACUUUUGUUGCUGGUAUAAUUGUUACAUGCCAGGUUCUGGUCUGUUCUACCUUCAAGCAGUAAAUCAAUCACUAUGAUUCAGGUUUUGCAAAAGAGAAAAGAUUUAUUCGAAAGGACACCCAGCGAGGAGGCGGUGGGAGAACAGCUCUCAAAUCUGCCUCCCCAAAGAUAAAGCUUAAGGGUAUUUAUGGGUUAGGGAAGUGAGGUGGUCUAAGGUGUGGGGAAAGGUGGUUGCUAGUGGGGAAAAAUGAAGUAACAGGUUCAUUCUGCAACAGCCUAGCUGGAGUUUGUGGCAUUCCACAGCACAUAUGUACAGAAAAUGGCAGCAUUAGCAUGGACUGAGGAUGGAGUCUUUGGCCCUCCAACAUAAAAAGGCCGCCUCUCCAGCACUUGAGCAGACCCAGUUAAAAGGUCAGUGGUCUCAACCAGUUUGAACUGGACAGAAGCAGGUCCAAGUUUCUGAAAAACAACUGAAGUAACCGUUACCAUGGUGACCUGUGAAUGUUAUCUAUAAAGUAGCUGGUGAAGGUUACGUUUCAGCAUUCAGUGGCAUGCCCUUCAGUGAUUGCAGACUUCAACUUCAGGGAGAGAUAAAAAAUAACAAAAAGCAAGCAACCAAAAGCAAGCAGGACAGGCAGACCUGACCAAACUAACCCCUCAGUUUUAUAAUUCUAAUUUUAAUGUUUGUAUUCAUUAACACAGAAUCACAGCACUCCCAGGACAAAAGUGAGGGUAAAAAAACUACAAAAUAGUAAUAGCAGGACAAAAACAUCUACUGUUGCUCCAGCACAGAGUAAGCUUUUGAUUAAUGAUUUUUGAGAAAGGAAAUGAAUAUUUAAACAAUGUGAUGUUUGUUAAUCACUUUCUAACUAUAAGCCCACUAACUAAAAUCUGCCUGAAAUUCACUUAUCAAAUCUGCAAUAUUUAAUGCAAGAUUAGAUUGAUUGUUUUAAUCCUCUGAAAGUUUUGCAUUACUUUGGAUACUUUCCCCUUUCUGUUAGUUUUCUUUUGAGCAUUUCAAGGAGUUUUAAAUUCCAAUUUAUCUAUGGAUCCUUCUGCCUUAAUUUCAAGCAAACAAGCAAAUUAUAUACUAUAAUUCAGGAAAUGAGAGUGUUCAGUGUAAGUCAAUCAUACAGAGAAAAAAGGCAACUUUUUCUUCAAGAUUAGAGAAACCACUAUCAUAACAUUUAAUAUUUCUCCAUCAUUUCAUUGAUCCUUCUGCAAAGGAAGAGAACUUUGAGACAUAAAUCCAUCUCUUUCCUUUCUUGGUUUUAUGGAAGCAACUAGAUGCUUGCUUCACACCAUAAUGCUAAGUACAAGUAGUAUAAAAAUUUGAAUAUAUAAAAAACUCACUAAAAAACCUGGAAGGAAAUAUAAUUAAAUACUGAUCUAAAAUUUUGAAUGGAGAACUUCUGAGGCAAAAGUGAUAAGUUAUGAGCCCUCUGUCCCACCCCAAUGUUUUAUUAAGCCUGCAGUGUUUCCUUUGAAGGAUGUUGUAUGUAAUAAUCUGGAUUCUGGAAAAAUUCAGAUCUUGCCACAGUGGGCCUAUUCUUAUCAACAACAAAUUGGAAUUUAGUGGUGUUCCUCCUGUUUGGACAAGCUGCAAGUUCUUCCCAGUUUCAAGACUACCUGUUGCCUUGUAUCGGGCCCACAUCAGCCCCACAUCAGCCCCACAUCAGCCCAUUGUAUUAUCUCUCUGACCAGUGGUGGAGUUUGAGCUUGUGGACUUUGUCUACAUCAUAGAAGAAGUCAUGAAGAGAAAGAUGACAUAUCUGACUAACAUCAAGUGGAAAACUUUGGUAUAUAAAAAUAAGCCACUUCACUUAUUUUUAACAAGUAACUGAUUAGAAAAAUGAGCAAAUACAAGAGUCAACCAUAUAUUAAAUUUAUGAUAUCAAGAGUUCAUCAAAAAUACCAAUAUCUUAAGGGACAAAAGGAUAAGAACUCAAUUGAUAGAAGAGGAAACACCAUCCAAAAGCAUUCAAACUCAUUAGUAACCAAACAAUAGUUUUAAAACAAUUACAUAUGAUUUCUGAUCCAUUAAAUUAAAAAAAUUAAAGUAUAACAUCAAUGCUAAUACUCCAUUGUUGGCUGGAAAGUAGUUUGGCAAUAUGUACCAAAAGCUUUCAAAAUGUUUAUUCCCUUUAAUGUGGAGUCCCUAUACUCACACAGAUCCCAGAGUCCAAGGGCCUGGAUUCAAAUCCAGACUCCUCCAUUUAUCAACGAUGUAAACAGGGGUAAUGUAAACCAGCACAUCUCGAUUUCCUCAUCUCUAAAAUGAGAAUAAUCAUAAUAGUACUUACAUUAUUGGAUUACUGUGAUGAUUAAAUGAAUAAUAGGACUUUUGGGAACAGUGCCUAGCAAACAGUGGUACAAUAUAAGUUUGCUAAAUGAAUAGAUUUAUCUAUUUUAAAAAUUUACUUGAGGAAGCUACCAACUGAGAAAAGGAUUUAUGCAGAAAAUUGUGUAUUAUAGUACUAUUUAUAAUAUUUAUAAUAGCAAAAAAUUAAGAGCUAUAAUAGAGAAUGAUUAGCUAUUUCAUAGAAAAUGAAAUUAAUGAAAUGUGAUGCAGUCAUUAAAAUUAUGUUUAUGAACUUUGUGUAAUAAUGUUGAAAUCAUAAUUUUAAGUGAAAUAAAAAGCAAAAUAUAUACCAGCAUAUUUGGCAUAUUACAAUAAUUAAAUUACAAUAAUUAAAUUUUUAU
rnacentral:lncRNA from 1 species